rnacentral:rRNA from 1 species
ACUUGGCGUAAUAAGUAUUUCGCUAAGGACAUCUUCGGAUGGCCGCGUUGCAGGACUAAAGACCGCUUUCUAAUCCAUUGAUCUUCGGAUUAAUACUCUUGACAUCUGGCCUCAAAUCAGGUAGGACUACCCGCUGAACUUAAGCAUAUCAAUAAGCGGAGGAAAAGAAACUAACAAGGAUUCCCCUAGUAACGGCGAGUGAAGCGGGAAGAGCUCAAAUUUGAAAUCUGGUAGCCUUCGGUUGCCCGAGUUGUAAUCUAGAGAAGUGUUUUCCGUGCCGGCCCAUGUACAAGUCCCUUGGAACAGGGCGUCAUAGAGGGUGAGAAUCCCGUCCUUGACAUGGACCCCCGGUGCUUUGUGAUACACUUUCAACGAGUCGAGUUGUUUGGGAAUGCAGCUCAAAAUGGGUGGUGAAUUCCAUCUAAAGCUAAAUAUUGGCGAGAGACCGAUAGCGAACAAGUACCGUGAGGGAAAGAUGAAAAGCACUUUGGAAAGAGAGUUAAACAGUACGUGAAAUUGUUGAAAGGGAAACGAUUGAAGUCAGUCAUGCUCUUGGGACUUACCUCCCUUGAGUGGGGUCAACAUCAGUUUUGAUCGAUGGAUAAAGGCACUAGGAAGGUAGCACUCUCGGGUGAACUUAUAGCCUAGCGUCAUAUACAUUGAUUGGGACUGAGGAACGCAGCAUGCCUUUUGGCCGGGAUUCGUCCACGUACAUGCUUAGGA